UUUUUUUGCUAAAACUACAAAGAAAACAUACCGAAGUAAUCUUCUACUUUUUUUUUUGUCAACAAAGUAAUCUUCUACAGUUUUGAAAAAGAAUAUAUUCCAUAUUUAACCAAUUCCAUUAACUUUAUCCUAUCAUUUUUUUUAUCUGUUGUAAUAUCCCAUUCUACCUAAUUAAUUUAGGGCAAAUCUUCAAAAUAACACUUUUCUAAGUUUAUAUCACAAAAAUAGCAUUCAAAAACCAAAAUGACCAAAAUAGCACAUUUCUAAGUUUAUCCUUUGAAAAUUUUAAUUUUUUUAUUUUUCAAAAUUUGAAAUCUUAUCUCCAAAACCUCAUUUCUCAACCCUAAACCAUAAACCCUAAACCCUAAACCAUAAACCCUAAACCCUAAACUCUAAACCC
rnacentral:lncRNA from 1 species